UACGUAGGGGGCUAGCGUUGUCCGGAUUUAUUGGGCGUAAAGAGCGUGUAGGCGGCCAGGUAGGUCUGGUGUGAAAACUCGAGGCUUAACCUCGAGAUGUCAUCGGAAACCAUCUGGCUAGAGUCCGGAAGAGGAGAGUGGAAUUCCUGGUGUAGCGGUGAAAUGCGCAGAUAUCAGGAAGAACACCAAUGGCGAAAGCAGGUAACUGGACUAUUACUGACACUCAACUGCGAAAGCUAGGGGAGCAAACAGG
rnacentral:rRNA from 1 species